rnacentral:lncRNA from 1 species
AAUAACUGGGAGAUGAAACAGGAAGCUCUAUGACACAGUUGAUCGAAAAUGACACAGACACAGAAAAAUCAGGACUCGGCCCCCUCCAGUGCCUCUACCUGCUGCCCACAGCCGGAGUGCAGAUGUGCAAAGCAAGGAACAAAAGGGGAAAGGACCUGGCUGAGGAGAGAGGCUGAGAGCAGUUCUCCCAUCCUUUAUGAACUGGAUCUGUAAAGGAGCCUAUCAGGGCGAGGAUGGAAGGAGAAGCCUCGGUAACUCGACUGUUAUCAAAACCACACAUCCAACUAGACCGGCAUCCUUGGACACGCCACCCUGCAGGAUGGUUGUGAAAACCUUCCAAACCCGCCUUGAAGGAGACUCCGAGAGGUGCCACCGCGCGGCAGGAUCACUGCUAGGCUUAUUACAAAGUCCCAGGAGCCCUCCACAUCAGGACUUGGGGAGAACAGAAGUCCGGUGCCCACACUCCAGCCUCUGUUUACGCGCACUGCCCUGCGGGGCUGGGGGCUUAGCCAUCCUCCAGGGGGAGCCCUGCGUGGAGGGGACCANNNNNNNNNNNNNNNNAGCUCCAGCAUCCUUGAAGAUACUGAAAAUCUAUCUAAAAGAAAAGAAAGAAGGCCACUUGGUCGUGUGGAAGCAGCCCUGCCAAGUGCCAAGUCAGGAGCCUUUGUUGUCCUAGGUUAUUCCUGUGAAUAUGCAAAGCUCCCUGGCCCCUGACCAGGGCCCAGAUCCCAUCCUUCACACAUUCAAACACUUGAAAGCAGUUACAGUAGUUUUGGAGUUUCUGGCUGAGCUGUUUCUUCCUCACCAGACGGGGUGGGGCCCCCAUCCCCGAGCAGCGGGAAAGGCCACUGUGAGGAGCCAGCUCUCUUGAGGGAGGAGCCUGAGGAGAUGGGGGGGGGGACUGAGACCAGGAGUAGGAAGGCUCUGCUGUUGUAACAGGUAGAACAAGAGCCUUCCCUCCCUUGGGAGCUGGUGAGAGAAGGCGGCUUGAGGGCCUUGGGGAGGGUGGGGUGAAAAAGGAACAAGAAGGACAACACAGGGCGCCUGGGUGGCUCAGGCGGUUAUUGCCUUCGGCUCAGGUCAUGAUCCCAGGAUCCUGGGAUUGA